rnacentral:rRNA from 1 species
AAAGCGUGCGCAGGCGGUUUUGUAAGACUGUCGUGAAAUCCCCGGGCUCAACCUGAGAAUGGCGAUGGUGACUGCAAGGCUAGAGUUUGGCAGAGGGGGGUAGAAUUCCACGUGUAGCAGUGAAAUGCGUAGAUAUGUGGAGGAACACCGAUGGCGAAGGCAGCCCCCUGGGUCAAAACUGACGCUCAUGCACGAAAGCGUGGGGAGCAAACAGGAUUAGAUACCCCGGU